GGGUGCCGCGCUGUCCCGGGGCCAUGCUCGGUGCUGCUCUCUCGGCAGCCCGCGACUGAAUUCAAAACGAAGACCACUUACAGCAGGCUCCGGGCUGGCGUCCUUGCGGGGCCGUGUCUCGGGAGGCAGCGCUGGGAGGCGAAAGUACCCCAGCAGCAGAUGGUUGGCCAAAGUGUGGGGGUAAAGGAAGCGUAGUGUUGCUGUCAGCUUGUAGUGCAGAGUAUUUUCCCAUCCCCAAUUGGUCUUGCAGGGACUUCUUGAAGAAAGGAUGGAGUCUAUGCAGCUAGUUACUGUUUCCAGUGGACCGGGUUGCCCCUUCAAAUCACGAAAAGUUCUAGCAUGCAUUAGGCACUUUGAGAAGCCAGGACUGUCACCCUGAACAGCUGCAGUGACUCUACCGCUCUUGAAAACAUGUCGAAGUGCCAAGGGGUGAAAACUGCUCUUGAGGUAAGCUCACAAUGAGCAUGACUACAGGAAAUUGAUGAUUUUAACAGCUGGUUUGCAAUAGGCCAAUCCUGGAUAUCCACGACUACUGAAACGAGUCCAUCUCUGUCUCGCCGUGCCUUCAGGAAGCACUAGAUGGCAGUACGUCAGUUGUUUAAAUGUAAUUUUAAUUAAUGAGCUGUAGCCGGUUUUUUCUGAGAAAGGGGCGUGUUGGUUGAUUGACCUGGUUAGGACUAUCUCGCAAUAUUGCUGUUAGAGUGGGGAAUAUGAUGGAGGAGAAGUAUAUGGACUUUGAUGGGCUUGCAUCUAAUAGAUAUAGUAUUAUACUUUAGAGUUAUUAUCUGUGAAAAAAAUGACUUUUGCUUCAUUUUUCAAGAAAACAAUGUUUUGACAAGUUAAACAAGUAUGACAGAACAUAACAAUAAAAAAAAGUAUUUUCUACACUCUUAUGAAGUAAAAUAAUCCGGGAAAAAACCCCAAUGACUGCUUAUGACAUAUUGUUUGCUAAAAAACUAAAUGUUGCAAAUAAGUCCAUUUUUGUUUUCUGGUGUAGACUGUACACAAUAAUAGAGCAUAACUUAUUUCAGUAGUGUAUAAUUCUGUGUUGAGGGUGAAACUUCUGAUCAGCUUUGCAUGUUGCUGAUUGAGAUGGUCUGACUUUUCCCAAGACAUCCUUGCUGCAGGUUUCUGCCGCUACCUUUGCAUCAUGUCUAAGUGAUCACAUGGCUACAAGGUGAAAUCUGAUAAUUUUUGAUGGGCUUUCUUCUGGUUCAGUGAAUGGAACCCACUCAGAAUAGAGACCUGACUGCCUUAUCCAGUGUACAGGAAGCAACACAAGUCUGCAGAUACCAGAAAGUGACUCUUUCACAGUCAUCUCAGGGAUACACUAUAUCCAAACCUUUGAAAUCCAAACCUUUGCAGUAUUGGGCCUUAGAUCUGCUCAUCAAGACAUCUACUUUGCAUCUUUGUAGUUUCCAGUACAAAUAUGAAUCAUAGCCAUGACCUACAUUUGCCUGCAUUCGUAACUCUUACUUGAGCAAGGACUUCCUUUUGGAAGCUGUAAUCUAGCAGGAACACAGCACUGACCACAGGGACCUGGCUUCUCCAUCAAGUAGAAUUCAAAAGCAUCAUACUAUUUGCUUUUUAUGUGGCCCUUCUUUUCCAGAAAUAGGAUUAGAGUACUUAAAGUCUGUUUACUAGACUGUGUGUCAUAUCAAGUCCUUUUGGAAAUUAUGCUAUAUCUGGUUUUGAACACUGAAAAACCAGUUCUUAGGUGCUAAUUUUCAUCAUCAUCAUCAUAAGGUCCAUGAAUUUUACAGACUAAAUCUUAUCCCUUUACCUAUUUUCAUUAAAUAUGUGCCAUUCUUAGUGCUCCAGCAAUUGCUCACACAGGAGAAUAAAUGCUAGAAAAGACUAAAUAUUUUCAUCCAUGCAUAAUUGUAUUGAAGUGAUUUUGGUCACAGUACAAUUUCUCUUUGAUGGCAGCUGCUUUGCUAUUCCUUAUUUCACAAUCCCAAUUUACAUGUUUUAUUUUUUCUCUCUCUGCCUACUCUCCAGUACAUAUUCCUCUGCAAUCUGGUCCCUUUCUCAGUCUGCUGCAUGCACUUUCUUGCAUUUCCUUUUCACAUUACUUUUCAGUGUAAUUCUUCUCAACUGCAUUCAUGUCCUUAGCUCAAUGGUUCUCUGAAACGUUAAAUAUUCCAUGCUUCUGAAGCAAGAAAAAGGAGUUUCUUCCACUAGAGUGAGGCCUUUUAAGAUUAGGCAACGCUGGAUUAAUGCUGAUAUUAGUGCUAGUGUCGUAGACAAAAGAAUGUAGUAGUAGCUAAUGUCUGUGUUGAACCUAAGUCCUGUCAUGAAUUCCAGAAAGGUCCUUGUGGAUUUGUUUAGAUACAGGGGCCUGGGUUGUAUAAAGGUCUGCUGCUGGAUGGUAAUGUUACUGGGGGUGAAAUGCACAGGAGAAAAAAUGCCUGUGUGCCCUCAUGUAUUUUUGAUAAAUGCAUACUUAUUUUUGCAUAGAUUUUGUACACAACGUACUCACAACUCAAUUCAGGAAGAUACAAACAUGGAUAACCUAACAGCUAACAAAGUGAAGAAGCACAUUGUUUUUUUUUUUGAAGCAAUAGGAGUACAGAGAGGUACUUAAGUAUUCAAAUCCAGCCCCCCUCCUUUCCUCUUCCCUGGUCAUGGAAAGAAUCCCAGCCUCAGCAGCAUGUCCUCAUAAGCAUUCUACCCAAAUCCUUCAGAAGCUAUGACUUCUAAUAUCUUAAACAAGAGUAAAUGUUCUUACCACCUUAUUUUUUGUCUUUUUUGGAGAUGUCUUCCUAACCUAUGUUUGUCGAUUAAAAAUAAG